GGUUAGGUUAGGUUAGGUGGGGGAUGGGGUUUAGUGCCUUCCGAGAGCUAGUUCUUAUAGUAACAUUUGUGUCUGUGGUGUGGUGUGUCAGUAACUCUUGGAAAACCAACACCGGCAGAAAUAAAAAUAUAUAACACAAAUAAUAGGUAAAAAAAAAUAUUAUUCCCAGUACGUAAAUCUAUCCUCGGUAUCAACAUUGGCUGUAGUCUGGUAGGUUAUAGCAUACAGGAGCAUUGCUAGCAGGCUUUUUUCUGCUUUUUAUAUAUAUUUUAUCCUUUGAGCUGCUUCCUUUACGUAUAAGAAACAAAAAGUAUGUUGCGUAACCCCUGCCAAUGUGUGAGGUCACCUGCAUAACCUACCCAAAAUCAAGCUUAAUUUUCCAGCUUAAUUUUGCUAGUCAUUCAGUUUUAUGCCUUAGCUUAGAGUGAAAUUGUUUCCUGGUGUUUAAAGCUUAAUUCUUUUAUAUAAUUUUGCUAGCUGUUCAGUUUUACGCCUAAGCACAGAAUGGAGUCAUUCCCUGAUGCGUAAAGCUUCAUUUUUGAACUUUACUUUGCUAGCCAUUCAGUUUUAUGCCUAAGCUUGGAGUGGAGUCAUUUCCUGAUGGGUAAAGCUUGAUUCUAGAACUUUAUUUCGCUAGCCAUUCAGUUUUACGCCUAAGCUUAAAGUGGAGUCGUUUCCUAAUGCGUAAAGCUUGAUUUUUCGACAUAAUUUUGCCAGCCAUUCAGUUUUAUGCAUAAGCUCAGAGUGGAGUCGUUUCCAAAUGCGUAAAGCUUGAUUCUUGAACUAUAUUUUGCUAGCUAUUCAAUUUUAUGCCUAAGCUCAGAGUGACGUAGUUUCCUGAUGUGUAAGUCAAUUGGAACAGUGCGUAAAGUCCCCCGAACACUCCCUAUACGUUUACUUCCCCCACCGAAACCUCCUAGUGCUUUAGUUUGCUUGGUAAUAACCCUUGUUUGAAGUAGAAGAAGGAAGGGCAGCAUCUCCAGUAACGUAUCUGUAUGUACGCCAUGAACAGUACGUAUGAAUAUGUAUACGUACGUAGCUUCCUGCCUGUCGAGGAAUGUAUAUACGCGGCUGCUUACAUAGGAGAGAGUAGAGUGUGCUUGCCCGACUCUACGCGAUGCCCAUGUUACGCUCUGUCCUGGUGAGUCGGUCAAAACAAACGCUCGACUUUCGGCAGUGACUUUGUUCCAUCGCCGCUCAAAACCUUUCGUAAUGGCAGUGUAGAGUCAUUAGCUGUGGCGUUAGUCUCUGACAUAUGAUAAUAGACCAAGCAAUAAAAAGGUAGAGUAUUCUCCUCAUUCUCCUCCUCCUUGUUCAUCAUCCUUAUUUUCCCUUAUAGAGUAGGAUGAAAAAGGUAGAGUAUUAAUUGGAAUGAAGUCUGUGGGCUCGUAGAGAAGGUGAGAAACAGUUAGAAGCUUACAUUAGUUUCUGAGUCCAUAGUAAGCAACAUAUCUUAGUCAGGGAACGCUUGGGUCAAUAGCUACACCCAGGGCAGUAAUUAUCUCUGUCGCUGAAAGUAUUACAAGUAUUGGACUCGUAAAGAAUGUUAGGUACAGUUAGAAGCUUACAUAGGUUUCUGAGUCCAUUGUAAGCAACAUAUCAUAGUCAGGGAGAGCUUGGGUCAAUAGCUACACCCAGGGCAGUAAUUAUCUCUCGCUGAAAGUAUUACAAACAGUUAGAAGCUUACAUUAGUUUCUGAGUCCGUAGUAAGCAACAUAUCAUAGUCAGGGAGAGCUUGGGUUAAUAGCUACACCCAGGGCAGUAAUUAUCUCCGUCGCUGAAAGUAUUACAAGUAUUGGACUCGUAAAGAAUGUUGGGUACAGUUAGAAGCUUAUAUUGGUUUCUGAGUCCAUAGUAAGCAACAUAUCAUAGUCAGGGAACGCUUGGGUUAAUAGCUACACCCAGGACAGUAAUUUUCUCUCUAGAAGUAUUGCAAGUAUUUGGACUCGUAAAGAAGGGGAGAUGCAGUUAGAAGCUUACAUAGGUUUCUGAGUCUGUAAUAAGUGACGUAUUGUAUUAAGGGAGAGCUUGAAAGUCUGCCGUUAGUGUAGGCUUGAGAAGGUACAUAAUGAAGCCACUGCCAAAUUGUGAGUUGCGUUCGUCACUCACUGGAAUGGACUUUACGUAACAGCGACAGUGCGUACGACGAGGCAACAUACCCUACACACACGCACACACACACACACACACACACACACACACAUUUAGUUUUAUUCUUUUGUUAGCAUUUGGGUUUUGUCUUUAGUCAUAGCUUAAUUAUUUCAUCCUUUUUUGUGCCUAUAUCAUUGCAUCAGUAAGUCCGGGAGUACAGUAUGGAGUGCCUGGCUAUCACUGUAGUGUUAACAUGUAUAUUAUUCCUUAUUUUUCCCCCUCUGUGUCACUACUAAAGAGGUAUUGGGAGAGCCUGAAUGCCCUUGAUAAUGUCGCCUUGUAACACGGAAACUCACUCGGUAACAUGAUACAAGAGUUACCUUUCCUCUGCCAGGCUCAAGCUUCUGUAUCCGCCAUAGAUUAUUAACAGGAGGACAUUUAGAAAGCUUUACGACAGCCCCUAGUUAUGUUACGUCACCUCAAAACACAAGCUCGAUAACUUAACACAGCAGUCCCCCUAUUCUUUCUUCCAGGCUCAAGCUUCUGUAUCCGCCAUAGAUUAUUAACAGGAGGACAUUUAGAAAGCUUUACGACAGCCUCUAAUUGUUACGUCACCAAUAAACACAAACUACAUCUUUGGUAACAUGGCAACGACACAACAUCACAACCCUCACAAUAUGAUUCUGUUAAGUUUUGUGUCUUGAGAAGAUUACUGAUAAACGUCACACACAUUCUUGUCUCACUAACUUGGGUUUUCAUUUGGUUAACACACCAUGGCACCCUUUUCCUACCAUAUCCACUCUCAAAGCCCUAUAUCCUUCAAUGAGAGUAAUGCCUAUGAUCCCUAUGUGAUAUUUUGCCUCCUAACCAAAAUAUAUCCCCUUGGUAACAUGACAGCCAUUGGUCAAGGUUCUGUAUCCGUUAAUAAGACUGUUAAUUACGACCCCUCUAUUCAUUCACUGGUAACACGAUCCCCCUCUAAAAAGCUCUCUAUCCUUCAGUAAUUCUAAUAAGUACAACCCUUAUAUUACAUUCAGGUCAUAUAUCCCUUCGUAAUAACACUGCUCAAGGUUCCGUAUCCUUUAAUAAGACUAGUAAUCCCGACCCUUAUAUUCAUUUGUUGCCUUGUAUUCAUUCACUGGUAACACACUCUCCCUCUCAAAAGUUCUAUUUCCUUCAAUAAUUCAAAUAACUACAACCUUCAUAUAAUAUUCUGUUGAUAUAUUCCCUCGGUAACACAACAGUUCAAGGUUCUGUAUCCUAAGCAAGGUUAGCGCUAGCGGAAAUGCCAAGGAAGGGAAGGGAGAGAUAUCAUAGCCUAUAGUUUGGGUGUUUAAUUCUGUGGGUCCUUUCCUCCCCUCUGCUCUGCCACACAGUCCCAACACCUAUUUGUCCUUCUCAUAUGUUGCCUAUAGCUAACAUAUGUGAUGAAGGGACGUGUGUUAAGGCUGUGUGGCAGAGCAGAGAGGAAGAAAGGACCCACGGAAUUGAGCGCCCAGACGAACUAUUUGAAAUGGCUUGACGAUAACAGUGCAUAGUGGCCGCCUGUAUCACGCCCACACACAUAACAACAACAGGGUAAAACAUGGUCUCCCGCCACUCCCCUCGCUGUGGUUGCAUGACGCAUGGGGACCACAGACUCGGACACACUCUCAGCCCUUUGCACGUAACUCUCAUUCUCUCUCUUACUCCUGAAAUGCCUCCUCUCUCUCUCCCUCUCCCUCUCUCGUAACACUUGUUGGCAGAGAUAUGUAUAAAUUAAUGCACUGUGACUUGUAUGUUUGUUUAUGUAUGCAGAGAAUGUGUAGGGAAGAAUGUGUAUACUAAUAUAUCUAACAGUGUAUAGCAGAACUUAGCCUAGCCUCACUGUAUUCAAAAUUUUCAUGUAUUAUAACUGACUAGGGAUUAGCUCUCAAUUUGUGUGUCUCAUUUUUGUCACUAUAUAACUUGUUGACUCACUUGAAAUUAACACUGAAGUACAUACAUUGGAUCUAACACUUAAUAUCAUCAAUGCUGCUUCUACUAACUUUGAGAGAGGAAACCAAAAGAAAGUUAUCAACAUUUAACCUUCACUAACCUCACUAACCUCAGUAAUUUGUCUCUUGAAAGUUUGAACAUGUAAUUAUCUCACCUCAGUCUGGUCCUGUGUGCUGUGUGUCGCUGUGUGAGUGUGUUCCGCAGCUGCUACUAAUAUUAAUAACAACACAUUCGCAGCGGAGUGGACACUGACUUGAUUUUUUUUUCUCCCUCCCUCCCACGCUCUGUCUCUCUCCCUCCUCGCCCCCUCCCGCCCCGCCCCGCCCUGACCCCUCCCCUGUUCCCCCAUGCCCCGCCCCCCCCUCUGCUGCCUCUCUCACCCC